UUAAACAAUAUUAGUAUAAAAUCUGGUAAUGGGGAUGAUAAUGAGAAGAUGAGCCUGGCUCCUGUGCAGGGAUGACACUCAAAUUCAUGAAGCAUUUCGUAUUUUU